AAGAUGGUCGAGACCAACGAUUUCAACGAGAAACAGAGGCGUCAAUCUCCUGCCGAGAGAUUUAUUUAUAACGCGUGAACGCGCGUCCCCGCCUUGGUACAUUAAACCGUGCACGUAUUGACGUCUCACUUGUCGUCUUUUGCACGCAAAACGAUCUCAAUGACGAAUCGCGUGUUGCAGUUCUGGCUUUCAUCGACACCCACUACGGCACCGCCACGGAUUAUGUAAUUCGAAGAUGAAGAAGAAGAACAAGAAUAAGAAGAAGAUGAAGAGGACGAAGAACGUGGAAGGGUGGAACAGGCGUCUUGCAGCCAAGAAAAUUUUACAAAUAUUCGUGCGAUGGUCUGAUAAAUUCCAUCAAUCUUCAAAAAUACGCUGUUGAGGAGCGAAAAAGUUGGAAGGCGAUGGAGGAGGAUCGAGAGCCAGCUUCGCCUUAGAGUCGCUGAACCGAGAGGAAUGCAAGAGUGAAAAUGGAGAGUGAAAUAGAGAAGGGAAGAGAAAGGGGGAUGGAGCAUACAGCACGAGGUACCCCGAAGAAUUUGCUGGCUGUACCAGAAGCAAAAGGGCUGAGGCUAUAAACGGGUUAUGUAAGAUUGAGUAGCUGCCACGUGUCGGCGGACGUCGCAUUGCUUCUGUACUUCCUGAGUUCACUUUCGCAAUCGACAAACCUAAUGCCUUUCCAAAAGUCUGGAACGUCGAAAUCUUCCAAUUUUCAAAGUCUGUAAUCCGUCAUUCUUCUUUAAAUAGUUUUUGAAAAUGAAUGGAACAUCGUUGAAAAUAUUGUUCACUGGCAACUAUGAUCUUCGAGGAUUAUAUAGCCAGUAGAAUUGCUUAAAUCUUUUCAAUGUUAAUUAAUCUGGUGAUAUUUCAUCUAUAUUCUAUCUUAAUUAAAAGAGAUUAAAUGACUAUAGUUUAGGAACUAAAUGACGAAGCUGAUCAGUUUAGCCUGCUUGUGACUAAAGUAAUAAAGAGUGGAGGGUGUUAUAGCACGAUAAGAUACUUGAGGGUUAAGUUUGAAGUAGUAUUUUAUUCUCAUUAAUUCUGUUGAGACUGUUCAUGAAUUAUUGAUGGCGUGUAUGAGGUAACACGUGUUCAUAGUGAAAUAUAUUCUAGUCUAUA